rnacentral:rRNA from 1 species
UCUGCUACCUCUUACCCAUGUCUUUUGAGUACCUUCGUUUCCUCGGCGGGUCCGCCCGCCGGUUGGACAACAUUCAAACCCUUUGCAGUUGCAAUCAGCGUCUGAAAAAACUUAAUAGUUACAACUUUCAACAACGGAUCUCUUGGUUCUGGCAUCGAUGAAGAACGCAGCGAAAUGCGAUAAGUAGUGUGAAUUGCAGAAUUCAGUGAAUCAUCGAAUCUUUGAACGCACAUUGCGCCCCUUGGUAUUCCAUGGGGCAUGCCUGUUCGAGCGUCAUUUGUACCUUCAAGCUCUGCUUGGUGUUGGGUGUUUUGUCUCGCCUCCGCGCGCAGACUCGCCUUAAAACAAUUGGCAGCCGGCGUAUUGAUUUCGGAGCGCAGUACAUCUCGCGCUUUGCACUCAUAACGACGACGUCCAAAAGUACAUUUUUACACUCUUGACCUCGGAUCAGGUAGGGAUACCCGCUGAACUUAAGCAUAUCAAUAAGCGGAGGAA